GCCGUGAUACCACUGCCUUCUCUUACUGCUUCAGGGAAAAACCUGGCACUACCUCAGAUAUGGCUUAUCAGUGCCUCCCAACAGCUUGUCUUUGUGAGGGCUAUAGACCUGUCUUUUGUGGAAUAAUUUGGUCUCUUGCCAGCCAUGUGGUCACUGAAAAGACAUGGAUGAAGAAGAUGCUGCUAGUUUUUUCCAAGUAAGAUCAGUUUGUUAGACACUACAUCUAUAUUACCUUUCUUAUCCAGAAGAAAUUUAGGGAACUUGAUUUUCUUUCCUUCCAGUUGGUUCAUAGCCAAGACCACAGAUUGGGGUAUUGUGAUAGUAAAACUAAGAUAGGAAAGACUUCAGUCAAAUUACCUUCCAGUCAGACUGAGUUCUACCUCAGGGCAGGACAGCUGUGUGAAAUCCCCCAGGCAUCUACUACAUGAAAAAUUCAAGAAGGUGGUAGGUCCUAUGUGGUUUUUUUGGGUACAUGAGUGUCUGCAUACCUACUCCAGUUAAACCAUACCUUCCAGUGCAGAAUGUUUACUGGGAAGAGUCUGGAGACAGCCCGGGGAGUUUCCCCAUCCAAUGAAAUGGAAAAUCAGGCCUUGAAUAGCUUCAGUGGCUAGAGCAGAUCCAGUGUCAGGUCAAAGGAAGGAACAUUUCUGGAGAAGCUUCAGAAGUCUUGAGAUGAAAGAAGAGAAGCUGCUAUGAAAACAGCCUGUUGCUCUACUGAUAAGAGGCAAUAUAAACAAGAAAGCCAGGGAUUGACAAACAACCCUUGAGCACCAGGAUUCCUCAGGAUACCUCUCCUGGAUGUUCAUCUCUCUGUCAGAAAAAUAAAUUGGUGGAAGAGAGGGCAAAUUGACAGUCUGAUCCAAUGCUUAUCUCACCUGGUCACCAGGAGCCCCACCCUUUCAGGAUGGGGCAAACAGCUGGUCUCCAGGAGCUCAUGACUGAUUUAAUAAAAGUUCUGGAAGAAUCUGUAGUAAUGCCAUCUCUACAAGUGUCUGUGAGACUCACUUUCAAACUCUGGAGUAUGCAGUACCAUAACUACACAUACUAAAAUCACACCACGUAUUUGUUAACAUAAACAAAUAAGGCAAUGUUCUUAUUUCAUUCUUAUGACCUUUUGCUUCAAGGGUAAAUGCAGUCUUAAUUUCUAACAUUUCUCAGCUUUUGCAGAGGCAUUCUAAGAGGCUCAUUUUUAAACAAGAUGGAACAUGUUCACAGCUGAAAUCUAAACAGGUUCUUCAUCCCUGUUGAAAUGCUCUGCUUAAAUGUUUGAUCCUUAAUGCAGUCUACACUCUGCCUGCAGCAAAUGUUCCUCCCAGCUGCUGUUCUUCCCAUUAACAGGAAGGGGAAGAAGAAUUAAGGUACUACUCUAUCCAAACAUGUUGAAGCCAAGAGCUCAUUAGCUGCCAUCCAAUAUGGAAUGGACUAUAAUAAAUUUAGUAUUUGCCUGCCCA
rnacentral:lncRNA from 1 species